rnacentral:rRNA from 1 species
GACGAACGCUGGCGGCGUGCUUAACACAUGCAAGUCGAACGGAAAGGCCCUGCUUUUGUGGGGUGCUCGAGUGGCGAACGGGUGAGUAACACGUGAGUAACCUGCCCUUGACUUUGGGAUAACUUCAGGAAACUGGGGCUAAUACCGGAUAGGAGCUCCUGCUGCAUGGUGGGGGUUGGAAAGUUUCGGCGGUUGGGGAUGGACUCGCGGCUUAUCAGCUUGUUGGUGGGGUAGUGGCUUACCUAGGCUUUGACGGGUAGCCGGCCUGAGAGGGUGACCGGCCACAUUGGGACUGAGAUACGGCCCAGACUCCUACGGGAGGCAGCAGUGGGGAAUAUUGCACAAUGGGCGGAAGCCUGAUGCAGCAACGCCGCGUGCGGGAUGGCGGCCUUCGGGUUGUAAACCGCUUUCGCCUGUGACGAAGCGUGAGUGACGGUAAUGGGUAAAGAAGCACCGGCUAACUACGUG